CGAAGGGGGCGAGCGUUGUUCGGAAUCACUGGGCGUAAAGCGUGCGUAGGCGGUCAUGACAGUUAGGAGUGAAAGCCCCAGGCUCAACUUGGGAAUUGCUUUUAGUACUACAUGGCUUGAAUUCGGGAGAGGAUAGCGGAAUUGUCAGUGUAGCAGUGAAAUGCGUAGAUGUUGACAGGAACACCAGUGGCGUAAGCGGCUAUCUGGCCCGACAUUGACGCUGAGGCACGAAAGCGUGGGGAUCAAACAGGAUUAGAUACCCUGGUAGUCCACGCCGUAAACGAUGUGUGUUUGUCGCUGGGAGGUUUACCUCUCGGUGACGGAGCUAACGCGUUAAGCACACCGCCUGGGAAGUACGGUCGCAAGAUUA
rnacentral:rRNA from 1 species